UGGCUGUGUGACCUCAACUAGGUUACUUGACUUCCAUGAGCCUCCAGUUUUCCAAUAGGUAAAAUGAGUGGGGGAAAGUUUCAAGGGUUAUUUGAGAUAAUUUUGGAACAAAAGGGGUCUGGCACAUAGGAAGUGAUUAUUUAGUGGUAACUUUUGUCCUUAUCACUAUUUUCUGUUAUUAUCUAAUUUCUGUUGUCGGGUUCUAUGAUGGCCUUUAAUAUCCUACAGGUUAAAGUCAAGAUAUAGCACAUUCCAGGCUUUUGGGAAUCUGGCCUCGCCCACCUUUUUACCUACACCUUCAACCUUGAACCUUGUAGCCCAAACGAUUUGUGGUUUCCGAAACCUGCUAUUCCCUCCUCGAAUCCAUUUUCCAGUGCCUCUAGUGUGACCUGGCCUCCACCUCUGACUGCCAGAGAACUGAUGAUCAAAGUGGCCAGUAUUCACUGGUGGAAUGAAACCUGGAAAACUGGACAAGAAAAUUAGCACGGCUAUAGGUUCAUUAAGCAAAUGUAUUGAUGCAUAGUUUAGUGAUAUUUGCGAUAGGUUAAAAUGUUGUGUUUAGCUUUGUGCUGUGAAGGACACUUGUGCCAAAGCACUGAAUUUGGUAAUUGAGUUGUUGGUUAUUGAAACUUACAUCCAAGUGUAUUGAUCACCUUUUUAAUCUUUGACUGAAUAUAAAUUUGAUUUGAUGGCUUACAUUUGCAUAUGUCAUAAAAGGACCUUAACCUCUUUUAUGGGGAUUAAGAGAAACCUUUUCUGUUAACUUGUUUUAUUGUUGUUGCCAUGGAGACCACAGGAGGUACAUAA
rnacentral:lncRNA from 1 species